rnacentral:lncRNA from 1 species
CAAAAGAUCCACAAACUUUAGGUCACCAAAGAGAGCUAACAUUCACCACAAAGAAAUGUAAAGAGAAAAAUAUUCUGGCAAAGUAGCUACAAUGCAAAGUGACAAUAUUGCAAUUACGUUUGUAUGCUCUAUUCAAGAAGGUUCAAGAGCAAUCCUUUUAAUGUGGAACAUAUUCUAAUGGAGAAAAGAGGAGAAGGUAUCAGAUGUUUUCCUUAUCAACCAUACCUUGAAAGCCCCAGAUGAAUGUUCCUUGGUUAAGAUGCCCUGGUAGAUGACCAAAAAAGUUUGACCAGUUAUCAAAGUCUACAAAGACUAUAUGAGUCAUGGUUCGCAGAUAAUCCAAAUCUGGAAGUUCAACAACUUCUUCAUCUGAGAAGAGAAACAUUAACAUAAAUUUAGUAAGAAUUAGCUAAAAACGCUUUAAUUUUUCAAGUUUAAAAGAUACUAGAGAAUAUGCAAAAAUAUUAAUCUUGAAUAUUAUUAAUUUCUACUUAAACCUUUUCAUGAGAUCCAAACCUAUACAUGAUACAGUAUAUUUACACCAGAUAAAAAAUAUUCUGAAUACUUC